GGAGAGUAGGAGGGGGAAAGGUUAAUUCCUCUCUGUUGUAGAGAUUCAAGGAGUUUGAUCACAGUGAUCCUCUCAGGUACCCCAGGGAGGGCAAAAGUCUGGAAGGAG